GGUUUUGGAACCGUUGGUUGAACUGCCUUGUAAGUAGACGAUAAUUCUGUGGGACGAUUACACCGUCAGCUGUUCGUGGAGGAAGAAAGGAGCCACGGAGUGGAGACACCUGAGGCCUGGAGUGGCAGAAGGUCAACUCGAGACACAUCUGUUGGGGCAGGACGGAAGCAAGAAUCGAGCCCUGGCCACCUGGCUCCCGUCGUCCAGGCUGCCUGGACGGGCACCAGCCACAAGGAGGGGCACAUUUAAUUUGUUGGCUGCUGAAACCCUACCAGCUCCUUCCCAGACCUUCUCCCAAGAGGGAGCCAACUAGACCAACUGCAGCUCUAAUUACCGUGAUGUGUCUCAUUAUAACGCCAUCGCCGUGAGAGGAAGGAUCCAUUGCCCAGGCAACCAUAGAUUAUGAACAUACAAUGCAGCUUCAGCAGGACUCUUUGGACUCAUUGGAUCAAAUUUCUCUUGUAUUCUUGGAUCAUGUCUCUCUUGUGGUAAGAAGAUGACAAAACAUUCCACAGUUCUGCUGGCUUCUUUCCUGUGUUUUAUUCUUUCCCUCCGAGAGGUCUCUGGCUGGUGCACAUUUCUCUAAAAUGCUGACUUUGCUCCUUGUAUUUUUACUAAUUAAAUCUUCCUAAUUUUUUUUCUCGUGCAAUGAAGUGCCCCUCUGAUUAAUACUUUCCACUUACCACUGGGACGCACA